UUUUACAUCCAGUAUAAAAACUUCAAUAUAUAUACACUACAGAGAAGAUUGGCAUGACCCAUACGCAAGAAUGACACGCACAAAUCUUUAGACAAUGUGCAUAGCCAU